rnacentral:tRNA from 1 species
GCCUCGGUAGUGUAAUGGAUCAGCACGGCAGCCAGGAUAUCUGAAAGUGCGGGUUCGAGUCCCACCUAAGGUU